rfam:Smithella sp. D17 contig_33, whole genome shotgun sequence.
GCAGUUCCGUGCGGGGAAUUGUCCGAUUCACCCCGGUAGUUCAAGGGAGCGGCGUCUUGGUAACAAGGGGUCGUAAGUUUCCCAUUGGCGAAGCAGCAGGCCGUAACGCAAGAGAACCUACAAGUAGCCUUGUUAAACUGAAAAGAAGAUGCCGACCCAGUGGACAGAUGGGGAAGGCCGAAGUCGCGGGCAGGGAAACGGAAGCAGUCCGAGGGAUCUUCCGGGGUAGCAAGGGC